rnacentral:tRNA from 1 species
AAAUAAGAAGUAAAAAUUACAUUUAGUUUCGACCUAAAAUUUGGUAUUAAACACCCUUAUUUA